rnacentral:rRNA from 1 species
GUGGGGUGACGGCGUGCCUUUUGCAUAAUGAGCCUACGAGUUACCGUUGCUGGCAAGGAUAAGUGAUUAAGUCAUGGAUCCGUAGCGAAAGCGAGUCUUAAUAGGGCGCUUUAGUCAGUAGUGGUAGACGCGAAACCGUGUGAUCUACCCAUGGGCAGGUUGAAGUUUAGGUAACACUAAAUGGAGGACCGAACCGUUUAACGCUGAAAAGUUUUCGGAUGACCUGUGGGUAGGGGUGAAAGGCCAAUCAAACUCGGAAAUAGCUCGUACUCCCCGAAAUGCAUUUAGGUGCAGCGAUGAUCGAUAGUUACUUAGAGGUAGAGCUACUGAUUGGAUGCGGGGGCUUCACCGCCUACCAAUUCCUGACAAACUCCGAAUGCUAAGUAAUGAUAAUCAUCAGUGAGGGCAUGGGUGCUAAGGUCCAUGUCCGAGAGGGAAAGAACCCAGACCAUCAGCUAAGGUCCCCAAAUGUAUGCUAAGUUGAAAAAACGCGGUUUGAUUGCCCAGACAGCUAGGAUGUUGGCUUGGAAGCAGCCAUUCAUUUAAAGAGUGCGUAACAGCUCACUAGUCGAGCGAUCGAGCAUGGAUAAUAAUCGGGCAUAAGUAUACUACCGAAGCUAUGGAUUUGCGCAUUUAGUUGCGUGAGUGGUAGGGGAGCAUUCUAACGGCGCAGAAGGUGAUUUGUGAGAAUUGCUGGAGCUUUUAGAAAAGAAAAUGUAGGCAUAAGUAACGAUAAGGGGUGCGAGAAACACCCCCGCCGUAAGACUAAGGUUUCCUCAGCUAUGCUAAUCAGCUGAGGGUUAGUCGGGACCUAAGGCACACCCGAAGGGGGACGUCGAUGGCCAACGGGUUAAUAUUCCCGUACUACUAAUAAUUGUGAUGGAGUGACACAGUGAUGAAAGCACCGCGAACUGACGGAAUAGUUCGUUGAAGCACGUACCUAUAGGUUUGAUAGUAAAAUGCGUCAGACUUGGAGAAAUGCGAUAGUACUUUGAGUCUUCGGACAACGAGAUAGUGUGCCUAAGGGCUGUCAAGAAAAGCUUCUAAACUUAGAUUAUUAGUACCCGUACCGUAAACCGACACAGGUAGUCGAGGAGAGUAUCCUAAGGCGCUCGAGAGAUUCAUGGCUAAGGAACUAGGCAAAAUAGACCUGUAACUUCGGGAGAAAGGUCGCCAGCGCAAGCUGGCCGCAGUGAAAAGGUCCAGGCGACUGUUUAUCAAAAACACAGGGCUCUGCAAAAUCGUAAGAUGACGUAUAGGGCCUGACACCUGCCCGGUGCUGGAAGGUUAAGAGGAGAUGUUAUC